GUAGGUGAACCUGCGGAAGGAUCAUUAACACGUACUCCGGUACAAACCUCAACCGUGAAUUGUAGCUUCUCCCUGUCUAUACCAAUGGUGUCCGAUGACGGUAGUAAGGGUCAUCGUUGAUGCACGGACUGGCGACGUCGGACCAACCCCGGCUAGCCCUCCACGCUGGUAUUCAGGCUGUCCCUUUACUGAUCUUUUACGAUCUCACCCAUGUAACUUUGGACUGAUUAAAGCCUAGCGUGUCUAACGACCCAGGUGAAUUAUUUAAACCUAGCACAACUCUUAGCAAUGGAUAUCUAGGUUCUC
rnacentral:misc_RNA from 1 species